rnacentral:lncRNA from 10 species
ACAUUAGAAGUAUAUUGGGUUGGCUGGAAUACAAGGUUUGGGUUAAGUUUGGGAAGAGCAGGAAAAUAAAAGGAGGUGAGAAUUGAAAGAUAGUUUUGCUGUCUUUCUACGCACGCACACACACACACACAUCCUCCCAAGAAAUUUUUCAGUCUCAGAGCUAGUUUGUUGAUUGACACACAGAUAUUCAGAUUUCUGCUACUUUUUUUUUUUUUAUCACUGCAAGCAGCAGAUUUAUUUAUUACUCACACACACAUAUAAAUGUAUUUUAUAUAUUUGGGCUUUGUUUACUAUUUAUGAGGUUUAAAACAAUUUUGGGAGAUCAGAUGAGGCUUUCAUUCACUUUGAUAGCUUCCUCAUCUGUAAAAUGGGAGAAAUAAUAAUGUAUAGAUCUCAAAGGGUAGUUGUAACCCUUAAAUGACUUAAAUUGCAAAAGUGUUUAGAUCAGUCCUUGGGGUAAUUGUUAGCCUUUAUUAUUAUCAUAAUUGUUUGCUGCUCACAUGAAGAGAAACAUGAGUUGAAGGAAUUUUACUCUAGGUCCCAAAUUCUACUGUAAAUGCAAUUGCAUUUUGCUGGUGAAAUACUUUCUGCCAUUUUGCCAUUGUGGAAACAUUGCUUGACAAUGACUGAUGUCAUUUCUUGCAUGCUUUUUAAACUUGGUAUAAAUGAAGUCUAAUCGAUUGAAUUAUAUCAAGCCCAUUGUUUUCAUUUUUAAAAACAAUACGAAGGCCAGAACAAGCCAGGGAGAUACUGAGUAAAUAUGAAAAGAGAAAUCUCUACAGAAAAAGUAUUCUUGUAGAAAAAAGAGAAAAGUAUUUUCCUUGCAGCAGGGCCCUGACGUGAAUCCAUUUCAAGAGCUGAUCGCAGUUGCUCUGUCUCUGACUCCUGGCUCCAGCCGUUCUCACCAAGACUCUAGGCUAGUUGUGGCCUGUGGUUCUGCAACUCAGCUCUUCGAAGGGCAGGAAGGAAGGGUGGACCUGCUUGAGAUUUCCUGUCUUGCUGUGAGUCACUGAUACAGAGCACUUCUUUUGCACUUCGCUGUCUACUAUCCAGAGAGCAGGAAUGCAGCAGCUGAAGUCAAACCGGAACCAUCCCUCUGCGUCAUGAUAACUGCUCUCACCACCUAUUCGUGCAUGGUCUGCACAUCCUCAGGGGUUGCUCUUCCGCAAUUCUGCAGGCUGUGAAGUUCAAAGAUUGAGUGACUGCAUCAGGUGGCUCCUGGUGAGGGCCUCCUCCCUCCACUGUGAGAGUUACUUGAAGCUCUGCGUCCGUGAUGGUCUAGGGGGCUUCCGAGGAAAUCAGGCAGUGUCAGUCUUCAGCUGCUAAGCCGAGAAGAUCUGGGAAGGAGUCAGUCAGAGAACCUUGGGCCAGAGUUACAGGGGCUCUGGGAGUGGCUGCCAGGUGAGUUGAACAGUCUGAUUUUCAGUGGGGUCCCACACACAUGGGACGUGGUUUAGGAGGAAUCCUGGGCUGCUGGCAUUCCUUGGCCUGGUGGCCAGAUUUCUGGCACUUGUAGCAAGCUCCUGGGGGAGGCGGGCCUGGAGGAACGCCUGGCCACUGCGGUUUAGGCGUUUGGAAGUUCUUGUGUGCUGGAGAUGUGGCUGGGGUUUGUCUCACAGUGGAAGCAAGGAAUUGCAACUCAGAAAUACGUUACUACUUGUCUGCCUCUACUCUAUUAUUGUACAUCUUGAAGGUGAGGUUAAGUCCUGUUGUGGGGUUUGAGGGCCGGAAUUUAAUUUUUGGAGUUUUAUUUAAUGUCAGGAGCGGAUUGGGUAAUAAAAUGUAUAUUGAGAAUAAGACGGCCUUUUGACCUUUUAGGGUCUAGGGCUGUAAAGCAUCUCAGAGUUGCUGCCAAACGAGCCAUGAACUGGGCUGUGUUUUUACAUUUGAUGAAAAAGAGCCUAAACGCUAUCUGAUUUGGGAGAGGUCAGAUAAAGAAAAAGGAGCAUUAACCUUGACUAUCCUUUAGCUCUAGCCACCUUUUUAAGAGGAAAUUGCUGGGCAGGUGGGGGAGGGCUAGUUACGGAACGAAACUGUAAACCGGACUGGGUGUGAGGAGGGGAGGUGACAAAAGGAUUAUAGGGUGGAGGAGAAGAGGCUGAGGAAGAAUUGGGACCUAGCUCGGCCUGGCGAGGAGCAGCCUGGGGAGGAGGGGAAAGGUCAGAUGGGUCUGUAGAAAAGGAAGACUGGAAAGACUCAGCGACGCUUGGGGUUGGGACUGAGGGGACAGGCAGGAGGGAAAGAAGGAGGAUUUGGGAGGAAUCGGGAACAGAGACUAGGGAGGGAAUGAAGUGUGAAAAACGCCUGGACGUAAGGCACCUCAGACCAUUUGCCCAUUUUUCAACAAAAAUUAUUUAGGUCUUGUAGGAUGGAGAAAUCGAAAUGCCGUUUUCUGGCCAUUUAGAGCCAUUGUCAAGUUUGUAUUGGGGCCAAGCGGUGUUGCAGAAGAAGAUAAGGCAUUUAGGUUUUAGGUCAGGUGUGAGUUGAAGAGGUUCUAAGUUCUUGAGAACACAGAAUAAGGGAGAAGAAGGAGGAAUGGAGGGUGGAAGGUUGCCUAUAGUGAAGGAGGCAAGCCCAGAGAAAAGAGAGAGUAGAGAUAUGGAGGGAAGGGGUUUGGGGGUUCUUACCCUCCAGAAAAGUGGGAAAGGGGUCGGGGCACAGAAAUAAGGGGUUGGGGCACAGAGAUAAGAGGUUGGGGCAUGGAAAUAAGGGAUCAGGGCACAGAGAUAAGAGGUCAGGGCACAGAAAUAAGGGGUUGGGGCACAGAGAUAAGAGGUUGGGGCAUGGAAAUAAGGGAUCAGGGCACAGAGAUAAGAGGUUGGGGCAUGGAAAUAAGGGAUCAGGGCACAGAGAUAAGAGGUUGGGACAUGGAAAUAAGGGAUCGGGGUGCAGAGAUAAGGGGUCAGGGUGCAGAAAUAAGGGAUCGGGGGGGUUCUUGCCCCCAAGAAAAGCAGAGAAGGGGUAGAGACAGGGAGAGAAGGGGUCAGGGUUCUUUCCCCUCCCCCAGAAAAGCGGGACUUGCCGCUAAGGGUGAAGGACCAAGGCAGGCAUCCCUGCGUGGUUAGACAUCUCUUAAACAUGGGUUAAUAAUCAGGCAUCCCUGCAAUGAUUAAACACCAAGGGAAGGCUGCCUUCCCGAGUCCGUGACCAGCGCCGGAGUUUUGGGUCCACGGAUAAAACGUGUGUCCUUUGCCUCUACCAGAAAAUGAAAGAAAUUGAAAUUAAGAGAAGGGAGAGAUUGAAGGGUGGCGCCAAGAUUGAAAGGAGAAAGUGGUUGAGGGAUAGUGAGAGAGGUUGGAGAACAGAGUAAGAAGAGGACGCUUACCCGAUUUAAAAUUGGUGAGAUGUUCCUUGGGCUGGUGGGUCUGAGGACCUGAGGUCGUAGGUGGAUCUUUUUCAC